rnacentral:ncRNA from 1 species
GCAAAGAUGAAAACACAGUCUGGUUGGUAGUCCAGACAUAUCCUUUAUGGAUAUCAGUAACCCUCCUCCUUGGUCGUCCCUUCUUUGUGU